GAAAUUCUGCUGAGGGCUAGG
rnacentral:piRNA from 1 species